UACGUAGGGGGCAAGCGUUGUCCGGAUUUAUUGGGCGUAAAGAGCGUGUAGGCGGCCAUACAGGUCAGCUGUGAAAACUCGAGGCUCAACCUCGAGACGUCGGUUGAAACCGUAUGGCUAGAGUCCGGAAGAGGAGAGUGGAAUUCCCGGUGUAGCGGUGAAAUGCGCAGAUAUCGGGAAGGACACCCGUGGCGAAGGCGGCUCUCUGGGACGGUACUGACGCUGAGACGCGAAAGCGUGGGGAGCGAACAGG
rnacentral:rRNA from 1 species